rnacentral:rRNA from 1 species
GAUGAACGCUGACAGAAUGCUUAACACAUGCAAGUCUUUGGCGAAGCUGUGCUUGCACAGCCUAGCCAAGGCGGACGGGUGAGUAACGCGUAAGGAACUUGCCCUGCAGUCAGGGAUAACAGACGGAAACGACUGAUAAGACCUGGUAAAGUCAGGCGGACUCAUGUCCAGCCUGAUGAAAAGAGAUGCUGCAGGAGAGCCUUGCGCCCUAUUAGCUUGUUGGUGGGGUAACGGCCCACCAAGGCGAUGAUAGGUAGCCGGCCUGAGAGGGUGGACGGCCACAAGGGGACUGAGAUACGGCCCUUACUCCUACGGGAGGCAGCAGUGGGGAAUAGUGGACAAUGGGGGCAACCCUGAUCCAGCAAUUCUGUGUGCACGAUGAAGGUUUUCGGAUUGUAAAGUGCUUUCAGCAGGGAAGAAAAAAAUGACGGUACCUGCAGAAGAAGCGACGGCUAAAUACGUG